GCCACCAACGCCACGUGCUCCAACGCCUCUCUAGCUCUCUUUCUACAAAGAGCCGCCUCCCUUACCCGCCUUUCGGCCUCCGUCCUCGCCACGAUCACCGCCUUGGCCAUGGAGGAAGCCGCAAUCUUCGCUGCGCAAAGAAGAACCGUGGCCAUUUUCUUAUCAAUGGUUCGAUUAUCAGUUUUAUCGAGGUGGAAGAAAGAGAAAUUGGGGUCAGCGCAAGGCGGGCA
rnacentral:misc_RNA from 1 species